AAUGAGUACAGCGGCGAACGGGUGAGUAACACGNUAAGAAUCUGCCCUAUAGUGAAGAAUACCCCUCGAGAAAUUGAGGUUAAUACUGCAUAAGUCCCUGCGGGGAGAAAGACGUCUUUUAUGUCGUCGCUAUAGGAUGAGCUUGCGGACUAUCAGCUUGUUGGUGAGGUAAAGGCUCACCAAGGCUAUGACGGUUAACCGGCCUGAGAGGGUGUACGGUCACACAGGCACUGAGAUACGGGCCUGACUCCUACGGGAGGCAGCAGUGGGGAAUAUUGCGCAAUGGGCGAAAGCCUGACGCAGCGACGCCGCGUGGAGGAUGAAGGUCUUAGGAUUGUAAACUCCUGUCAGGUGGGAAGAAAGGCUUAUGUUUAAUAAUUGUAAGAUAUGACGGUACCAUCGGAGGAAGCACCGGCUAACUUCGUGCCAGCAGCCGCGGUAAUACGAAGGGUGCGAGCGUUAUUCGGAAUCACUGGGCGUAAAGGGUGCGUAGACGGUAUGUUAAGUUUGUUGUUAAGGACUCCGGCCUAACCGGAGCACUGCGAUGAAAACUGGCAAGCUAGAGGGUGAGAGAGAGAAGUGGAAUUCCCGGAGUAGCGGUAAAAUGCGUGGAUCUCGGGAGGAACACCAAUGGCGAAGGCAGCUUCUUGGCUCAUUCCUGACGUUGAGGCACGAAAGCGUGGGGAGCAAACAGGAUUAGAUACCCUGGUAG
rnacentral:rRNA from 1 species